CGGGGCCUCGCAAUUGGAAUGAGUACACUUUAAAUCCUUGUACGAGGAUCGAGUGGAGGGCAAGUCUGGUGCCAGCCGCCGCGGUAAUUCCAGCUCCACUAGCGUAUAUUAAAGUUGUUGCGGUUGAAACGCUCGUAGUUUGACUUCUGCUCCGGACCGGCGGUCCGCCUUAGCGGCGGCUACUGCCGGGUUCCGAGCUGUGUCCCCGCCGGCGCACAUGGGGUUUUUAUGCCCUUAACCGGGUGUCCCCUUGUGGCCGGCACGUUUACUUUGAAAAAAUUAGAGUGCUCAGAGCAGGCUGGUUUUUGCUUACAGCCCGAAUGGUCGUGCAUGGAAUGAUGGAACAGGACCUCGGUUCUAUUUUGUCGGUUUUUCGGAACCCGAGGUAAUGAUUAAUAGAAGCAGACGGGGGCAUUCGUACUGCGACGCUAGAGGUGAAAUUCUUAGACCGUCGCAUGACGACCUACUGCGAAAGCAUCUGCCAAGGAUGUUUUCAUUGAUCAAGAACGAAAGUUAGAGGUUCGAAGGCGAUCAGAUACCGCCCUAGUUCUAACCUUAAACGAUGCUGACUAGCGAUCCGCCGCAGUUAUUCCCAUGACCCGGCGGGUAGCUUCCGGGAAACCAAAGUCUUUGAGUUCCGGGGGAAGUAUGGUUGCAAAGCUGAAACUUAAAGGAAUUGACGGAAGGGCACCACCAGGAGUGGAGCCUGCGGCUCAAUUUGACUCAACACGGGGAAACUCACCAGGCCAGGACACCGGAAGGAUUGACAGAAUGAAGGCUCUUUCUCGAUUCGGUGGGUGGUGGUGCAUGGCCGUUCUUAGUUGGUGGAGUGAUCUGUCUGGUUAAUUCCGAUAACGAACGAGACUCUAGCCUGCUAAAUAGUCGACGGAUCUCAACCCCGUUGCCCCCGUUGUCGUUCGCGGCGAUGCGGGGCGCGGGUUCCCCGAAACCCGGUCGUCGUGCGGGCCUCCACCGUCGGUCGGUUAGCGCCGCCGGCGGCGCGCCCCGCGGCGCCGGAAACUGGCGUCCGCUUCGCAGUCUUCUUCUUAGAGGGAUAAGCGGCAGCAAAAAAUAUACUAGCCGCACGAGAGUUUGAGCCAUAACAGGUCUGUGAUGCCCUUAGAUGUUCUGGGCCGCACGCGCGCUACAAUGGAGAGUUCAGCGAGC
rnacentral:rRNA from 1 species